rnacentral:rRNA from 1 species
CCUACGGGGGGCAGCAGUGAGGAAUAUUGGUCAAUGGACGAGAGUCUGAACCAGCCAAGUCGCGUGAAGGAUGACUGCCCUAUGGGUUGUAAACUUCUUUUAUAUGGGAAUAAAACGUUCCACGUGUGGGAUUUUGUAUGUACCAUAUGACUAAGGAUCGGCUAACUCCGUGCCAGCAGCCGCGGUAAUACGGAGGAUCCGAGCGUUAUCCGGAUUUAUUGGGUUUAAAGGGAGCGUAGGUGGAUUGUUAAGUCAGUUGUGAAAGUUUGCGGCUCAACCGUAAAAUUGCAGUUGAAACUGGCAGUCUUGAGUACAGUAGAGGUGGGCGGAAUUCGUGGUGUAGCGGUGAAAUGCUUAGAUAUCACGAAGAACUCCGAUUGCGAAGGCAGUUCACUGGACUGCAACUGACACUGAGGCUCGAAAGUGUGGGUAUCAAACAGGAUUAGAUACCCCUGUAGUC